UAAUUCCUUCUAGGGCAUGUCUACUCAUGCUCGAGUGAAAACCUGACACCACACGAUCUGGAGUUUCUUUUCAAAUGCAGAGGAUGUGCUCGCUGAGUGUUCUUCCACACAACACAUCCUCUAGAGCUCCAACACAUUAAAUGAAGCCAAACCCAAACAGAAGCACCAGAGAAAGCUACAGUGGAUGAAAGACAUUUAUGAGAGCGCCAUGAUCAAAGUGAUGAGUUUCUACUCUGGUGUGAGGGCACGGCAUGUUUAUGGCUGGGUUUCCAUCAUCUGGUUCAUUUCGGCAGUCAGGAUCGCUGUCAGUGAAGAUGUGCCCCUGCAGACCGUUUCCGAGGUGGUGGCACAGUGCGGAGAAAAUGUGACACUGCCAUGUGGGGUCACCAUGCAAAGCCAGUUGGAUAUUAAAUUAUUUUCCUGGGUGCGUGGAAAUAAAUUGUGUACAUACGAGGACAGUCAGCUUGACCCUGAGGUUCUGUGUGAAAGCACGGAAGACACUCCCAACCACAGACUCAGUAUGACUCUACUAAAUGUGAUGCCAGUCGACCAGGGAGAGUACUUCUGCAAACUACGUUCCAAAGUGGGUGUAGGUUUUGCCAAAACUUUAGUUACAGUACAAGACUGCUUUGAAAAUUCUAAGUCCUACAUGCAAGAGUCUGUUUACAUGAGAUAG
rnacentral:lncRNA from 15 species